GAUGAACGCUGGCGGCGUGCCUAAUAAAUGCAAGCGGAGGGACCAGACGAGGACUUUGCUCCCCUGCCGUUACCGCCGGACGGGUGAGUAACACGUGGUUAACCUCCCUAUAAACCUGGGAUAACUUCGGGAAACCGGAGCUAAUACCGGAUAAUAUAUUGAACGGCAUGGUUCAAUAGUGAAAGACGGUUUUGCUGUCCCUUAUAGAUGGAUCCGCGCCGCAUUAGCUAGUUGGUAAGGUAACGGCUUACCAAGGCAACGAUGCGUAGCCGACCUGAGAGGGUGAUCGGCCACACUGGAACUGAGGCACGGUCCAGACUCCUACGGGAGGCAGCAGUAGGGAAUCUUCCGCAAUGGGCGAAAGCCUGACGGAGCAACGCCGCGUGAGUGAUGAAGGUCUUCGGAUCGUAAAACUCUGUUAUUAGGGAAGAACAAAUGUGUAAGUAACUAUGCACGUCUUGACGGUACCUAAUCAGAAAGCCACGGCUAACUACGUG
rnacentral:rRNA from 1 species